UAAGGUUCCUGACGCGACAUUCGGUCGUCACCGUAGAGUUGCUUGAGUGGCAGAGCAACAACAUAAAUGAUUAUGGGAUGAGGUGAUUCACCGUUACAAAGGCGCAUAUAUUCAUAUAUCUUUACCUUGGACCACAACGCUGUCACUUACGAGUUUGUCCCCUUUUUUUGACACUCACUAUGGAAAUGGCAUCCUUCUUUACUUUUUAGAAGUUUCACUUAUCUUUUGCAGUUUCACUAUCGUCAAAGCCAUUUGUUCCGUUGGUGUUGGUGACUGUUCUUGUGAAGGGUGCCGCAACUGUGGGCCCUUACCUGAUGCUGUCUCAUUCGUCCGGUUCUUUUCCCGAGGAGGAGGGGAGGAGGAGGAGUGUCAUUGGGAGGAACCGAGAGGUUCCGAGAGGUCUGCCUGCCUGAUUAGGCGGCAUGUUUCUAGGGAAGGGAAAGGUGGUGAAGAGGAGGAGAGGAAAGGGUGAAGUGGAAGACCGAGCGGAAUCCGCUCGGGAAAGGGCAAAGGCAGACAUUGACACUGGAGUAGGAAGGGAGUUGCCUGAGGACAGAAGCCGCCGAUAUUUCGAACAGAGACUGUUCUUCUUCUGGGCACCGUCCUCAUCAUUGGCAUGGUAUUUAAAGGAGGACGCAAGAAAUGUGAGGCCUGCCUUCCAAUACCUUGGUUUCAACUGCACCGUGCAUUCUAGUCCAACAGCAGCAACGAUUCAGAAGAUACUCACUGAAGGUACACUUUGAAUACACUACCAUAUAACACGUCCAACCUGCCCUGUAUCCAACAAUACAUCAGUAGAUGGCACAGUCCAACGCUAAUAUUACGUUAAACUUGCCGCAUCUACAUGGCGUGACAACGCAUGGUCCGACUGUUUUGUUUGUCUGCUCUUAACGCCUGACAAGAAUGGAGACAUGCUUGUCGAAGGCGACCAAAAGUUUACUAUGAAUAUGCUCACAGGAUAUUUCGUGGCAUCUUCCUGGAGAAGCCUCAAAGAUAAGCCCAAGCUUUUCUUCGUCCAGGUAAUGCUGUAUCACUGUUGUCAUUCAAAACCACUUCAACAGCACACUGUUAUCGUUAAUGGAUUAAAAUUACCUAGUUGAGAAUUAUCGUAUCAACACCAACCCCACUUUAUUUUAUUGAUUAUGAUUAGGGUGCUUCAUACGGUGUGAUAGCGGAAUGGAACAAUACUGACAACUCGUGACUACUAUGAUUCGAACGCCUCAUGACGUCCAUGUUUGUGAACAAGUAUAGGACGCCAAUACGUUUGUAACAAGUGUGUGUUUUCUACUACUCUCUCUCUAACACCGAAUAGAAAUGAAUGUCUGCGGAAAAGGUAGGGGCU